UCUCGCCGCGCCCCUUCUCUCUUGCCUUACUCCCGAUUCUCUCUAUCUCCCUCCUCCAAUCUGCCACCAAUCAGUAUUCUAGAGACUAAUCACCAUGCCAAUUCCGAUUUAGUCUCUGAACAUCAACCCUAGGUUUUGUACUUCGUUAUUCGUAAUCUUUGUGGAUUAAAAGCUCAGUUCUGGAAUUUCGGAGUAGCGAUCAUCAUCUUCAGUUCAUAAAAUUAAAGUUUGGCAAGGAUUGCAGUGUCGAUUUGAAGAAGCGCAAUCCGAGCAGCAAGAAUGAAGUCCACAAGUUCAGUGACAAGGGCUUCUCUGCCUAUUAUGCAAAAUGAAGAUAAUAACAUUAGACAUUGAAGCAGACACAUGAUUUAAAACACACAAAUAAGCCUCUUGUAAGAAGCAUGGGGUCUUGGGAAGAAGAAUAUUUUGCAAAGAUAUAUGCCUCUUACAAAAUUGGAUAUUGCAAAGGUUCACUAUUACCUGAUGAUGUCUUCUUCUAGAAUGUAAUUUGUGAGCAUAAUAAAUAUUUUUACCUCCAAAA